AAGGAAGGGUGUCUUGCUGAACCCAGGGCGAGCAGAUGCAAGGACAGGUUAACACAAGCAUACCCACGGAGGGCUCCGCCAUAUGUUCUAACUUUCAGAAACUGGUGCUGAUUCUGCCCUUCUGAGCCAUCCAGAUAUUUGUGAAAUGAGUCUUGGAACACUUUCCUUUUCGUUUCUGCGUGAGGAUUGUGAAUGACUAAAAAUGAUCACGCACGUGUUGCUAAAGCCCCUGGCAGACCAGAAGUGUGAUGUGACAGCUCGGAAGGGCGGGAGGGCAGGAGUCUUUUGUUCAUUUAUUCAUUCCUUCCUUCAUCCGACAAAUACGUACUACAAAGCUCCUGUGCUCAGGGCUCUGCGCUGGCCGCCGCUUCCAUCAGUGAGCAAGGAAAGUCCCUGUCUUCAUGGUGUUUUCAUCCUAGUCGGGGAGACAGGCAGAUGGAUGUGGGCCAGCUCGUCCCACAAAGAACUUUUGCGUAAGAUGCUGACUACAGCAAUGAAGAGGAGGAACAGAUUGCUAAGAGAGCACACAACAGGAAAGAUGACUUGUCUGCAGGAGUAGCUGAGGUGCCCUUGGCUUUGCUGCUUCACCUCCCAGAGCCUCACCUGUGGAAUGGGCACACUGCCAUUGGCUUCAUGAGGCUGCUGUGAGAAGUGGGGAAACUAAUGGAUGUGGAAAAGCACUUUGACAAGUGUUGGCUGCUCCCAUAACUCUCCUGGGUCCCUCGUAAUCCGGCACCAGCUCCAUGUUCUGCCCUCUCUUCUGGAGAAACCGAUUUAACAAUCCAACCUUGCCUGGACAAACAGAGGAAAACCCAUUCCAAAAACAACUGGCCUGAAAACCAUUUUCUUGGGAGGGAGGUGGAGAACUGACGAGCAUCCAGAUGCUUCGGCGGGGUCUCGUUGCUGAAAGCAGCGUCCUGCCGUGGCCUGGAAAGAGCACACGUGGGGGACAAGUUCCGAUCUCCCUUCCAUGUGUGCUGCAUACUGAACACCGCUCUGCCCUCUGGCCACAGCUUCUCAAAUGCUCUGUUUACGGAGACAUAUUUAAAAGACUCAGGAAAUGAACUCACAUUUUUUCCCUCCCCCUCCUUUUCCAGAACAGGGCAGCCUUCCUGGAAGAAAGCAAACAAAACAAGUGUGACUGUUUAAAAAAUUAUUGGAAAACCCGUUCUGAACACUCCAGCUUUGAGUGGCUCUCCUGGGCGGAGGACGCGUCACCUGCCGCUUCCUUCUGCCCUCACCCCGAGGGUGUAUCUGUGGGGAAGGGGCGGGGCAGCCGUGUGGCCUUGAAGGAGGAGGGAGCUGAAGGGCCUUAGCAGGCCCCAUGACCAGGCCCCCUCCCACACCCGUGUGCACCUGACACGCACAGACAGAUGGGAGCCCACAUGUGUGCCCCUGAAAUCAGAGAAUUCUCUCCCUCCCAAGUGCAGCCGACUUCUGCCCUGCGUGUGGGUGACUAUUUUGGGUUUCUAGGUGUUCUCGUUUGAUUUGUGGCAUUCUUGGUGCUGUUAUUAAUAACACCGUUGGCUGUACGGAGGCUGAAGAUGAAGCCUUUUCAUUGCAGCCAUCUGGUCAGAGUGCUUUUCCUUUGAUGAGGGAAAAACCUUUGCUGUGUUUCAACUGGAACGUUGCCUCCCAAUUAAGGUGACAGCAGAUGCCGAAUGGCCCCGUGUUUGCAGGAAGAGGAUGCUCAGCCAGGCUCUAAAGCGCCGGCUCUGUCCGGGAGGGAGCCGGCCUCGUAUUGAUCGUGCUUUGGCAUGCCGAGCAGGCUCCAACUCGAAGGGACUCGGCCAGGAAAGCCACCAUCAGGUGUUUACCGGCUGGGCUGGCUCCGCGCUCAGGUUUUCCAUUGUCAAGCAGUGACAGCGAUGCGUUACAGACACCCUCAGGAGACGUUCCUCUGCUUUCAUAACAAUGAAGGAUUUUUUUUUUUUUCUGACUCAUCUUCAGAAGACUCCCCCCUCUUCUUCAUUUGAAAAUAAAUAUAAUUAGUAACAGGCA
ensembl:lncRNA